rnacentral:rRNA from 1 species
GACUACAUGAAGCUGGAAUCGCUAGUAAUCGUAGAUCAGCAUGCUACGGUGAAUACGUUCCCGGGUCUUGUACACACCGCCCGUCACACCACGAGAGUUUGUAACACCCGAAGCCGGUGGAGUAACCUUUUAGGAGCUAGCCGUCGAAGGUGGGACAAAUGAUUGGGGUGAAGUCGUAACAAGGUAGCCGUAUCGGAAGGUGCGGCUGGAUCACCUCCUUUCUAAGGA